UACGUAGGGGGGCUAGCGUUGUCCGGAUUUAUUGGGCGUAAAGAGCGUGUAGGCGGCCAGGUAGGUCCGCUGUGAAAGUCCGAGGCUCAACCUCGGAAUGUCGGCGGAAACCCUCUGGCUAGAGUCCGGAAGAGGAGAGUGGAAUUCCCGGUGUAGCGGUGAAAUGCGCAGAUAUCGGGAAGAACACCCGUGGCGAAGGCGGCUCUCUGGAACGGUACUGACGCUGAGACGCGAAAGCGUGGGGAGCGAACAGG
rnacentral:rRNA from 1 species